UGGGGAAUCUUGGACAAUGGGGGAAACCCUGAUCCAGCCAUGCCGCGUGAGUGAUGAAGGCCUUCGGGUUGUAAAACUCUUUCGCGCGCGACGAUAAUGACGGUAGCGCGAGAAGAAGCUCCGGCUAACUUCGUGCCAGCAGCCGCGGUAAUACGAAGGGGGCUAGCGUUGUUCGGAAUUACUGGGCGUAAAGCGCGCGCAGGCGGCUUCUCAAGUCAGGGGUGAAAGCCCAGAGCUCAACUCUGGAACUGCCUUUGAGACUGAGAGGCUUGAGUACGGGAGAGGUGAGUGGAAUUCCCAGUGUAGAGGUGAAAUCCGUAGAUAUUGGGAAGAACACCGGUGGCGAAGGCGGCUCACUGGCCCGUUACUGACGCUCAGGCGCGACAGCGUGGGGAUCAAACAGGAUUAGAUACCCUGGUAGUCCACGCCGUAAACUAUGAACGCUAGCCGUUGGGUAGCUUGCUAUUCAGUGGCGCAGCUAACGCAUUAAGCGUUCCGCNUGNAGGAGUACGGCCGCAAGGUUG
rnacentral:rRNA from 1 species